rnacentral:rRNA from 1 species
CGCAGCCGCGGUAAUUCCAGCUCCAAUAGCGUAUAUUAAAGUUGUUGCAGUUAAAAAGCUCGUAGUUGAAUUUCGGGAUCAAUUAAUUGGUCGUGCCUCUGGUACGUACUGAUUUUAUUGGUUUCUCCCUUCUGAAGAACCAUGAUGUCAUUAAUUUGGUGUCGUGGAGAAUCAGGACUGUUACUUUGAAAAAAUUAGAGUGUUUAAAGCAAGCUAACGCUUGAAUACAUUAGCAUGGAAUAAUGAAAUAGGACGUUUGAUCCUAUUUUGUUGGUUUCUAGGAUCGACGUAAUGAUUAAUAGGGAUAGUUGGGGGCAUUAGUAUUCAAUUGUCAGAGGUGAAAUUCUUGGAUUUAUUGAAGACUAACUACUGCGAAAGCAUUUGCCAAGGAUGUUUUCAUUAAUCGAGAACGAAAGUUAGGGGAUCGAAGACGAUCAGAUACCGUCGUAGUCCUAACCAUAAACUAUGCCGACUAGGGAUCGGAUGAUGUUAAUUUUUUAAUGACUCAUUCGGCGCCUUACG